UAUGUAGGGGGCUAGCGUUGUCCGGAUUUAUUGGGCGUAAAGGGCGCGUAGGCGGGCUGCAAAGUCCGGGGUGAAAUCCUCCCGCUCAACGGGAGAACCGGCCUCGGAUACUGGCGGUCUCGAGGGAGGUAGGGGCAUGCGGAACUCAGGGUGGAGCGGUGAAAUGCGUUGAUAUCCUGAGGAACUCCGGUGGCGAAGGCGGCUCACUGGCCCGGUACUGACGCUGAGGUGCGAAAGCGUGGGGAGCAAACAGGG
rnacentral:rRNA from 1 species